UUUGGUACCAGGGAUCGAACUCGGGAAUUUGAGCUUGCCAGGCAGGCGCGGUGCCACGGAGCUAAAUCUCCGACCCGUAGAGGCCUUUCUAAAAGAAGAGCGUCGUAUCCGGAAGUUUUCCAGGAGUGCUCCAUAGCCGGAACAGUGGAUCCAGGAAUCUGGGUCUCGCUCCGUUGUUUCUGGGUCUUGAGAAAGGAAGUGCAGCCCUCUGGCUCCUCACUGUUGCUUCUCUAGUUUUCUAGCUCCUUUUAGAAAAUUGAGUUUGGAUGCAACAUGUCAAGACAAUCCUUUAAGAAGUGUGGCUGUAAAGGAAAAGAGAAAGGUCAGUGCCUGAAGAGAAUGGCAAGUGAAGAAAUUGGAAGAUUUCUUUAUGGAAGAGUGACCUACUGUUUAUUAAUACAACAGAAAAAAAGUUGAUACUUGCGGUGGUUAUUCAUUGUCAACAAAAGAAUUAAAACCCUCAGCAGCAAAAUUCCUCAUUAAAGCAAUCCUGCCCAGCGAGUACUAAGCAGUCAUAAGAUAAUGCACUGUGAGGAAGAAAUAAAUGAUCUUGUCAAGUUGCACCUUUAAUGUACAACUUUAGAUAUGAUGCAGGUGUUCCUGAAAGAUUAACAAGGAAGAAGAUGCCCUGGAAAAUGCAUUUCUGAGACAUCUACAUUUGCUGACUCAGACCCUUUCCUAUUUCCUCAAUAUAAAGACGCCAGCUUCUCCCCGUGACAGAGCAAUUCCUCCCUUGGGAACUUACCCACCAUCCCUCUUGACAUUGUUUUCUGAUCUAAGUAAACUCUUGCCUUUAUUUUUA